rnacentral:rRNA from 1 species
GACGAACGCUGGCGGCGUGCUUAACACAUGCAAGUCGAACGGAAAGGCCCUGCUUUUGUGGGGUGCUCGAGUGGCGAACGGGUGAGUAACACGUGAGUAACCUGCCCUUGACUUUGGGAUAACUUCAGGAAACUGGGGCUAAUACCGGAUAGGAGCUCCUGCUGCAUGGUGGGGGUUGGAAAGUUUCGGCGGUUGGGGAUGGACUCGCGGCUUAUCAGCUUGUUGGUGGGGUAGUGGCUUACCAAGGCUUUGACGGGUAGCCGGCCUGAGAGGGUGACCGGCCACAUUGGGACUGAGAUACGGCCCAGACUCCUACGGGAGGCAGCAGUGGGGAAUAUUGCACAAUGGGCGGAAGCCUGAUGCAGCAACGCCGCGUGCGGGAUGACGGCCUUCGGGUUGUAAACCGCUUUCGCCUGUGACGAAGCGUGAGUGACGGUAAUGGGUAAAGAAGCACCGGCUAACUACGUGCCAGCAGCCGCGGUGAUACGUAGGGUGCGAGCGUUGUCCGGAUUUAUUGGGCGUAAAGGGCUCGUAGGUGGUUGAUCGCGUCGGAAGUGUAAUCUCGGGGCUUAACCCUGAGCGUGCUUUCGAUACGGGUUGACUUGAGGAAGGUAGGGGAGAAUGGAAUUCCUGGUGGAGCGGUGGAAUGCGCAGAUAUCAGGAGGAACACCAGUGGCGAAGGCGGUUCUCUGGGCCUUUCCUGACGCUGAGGAGCGAAAGCGUGGGGAGCGAACAGGCUUAGAUACCCUGGUAGUCCACGCUGUAAACGGUGGGUACUAGGUGUGGGGUCCAUUCCACGGGUUCCGUGCCGUAGCUAACGCUUUAAGUACCCCGCCUGGGGAGUACGGCCGCAAGGCUAAAACUCAAAGGAAUUGACGGGGCCCCGCACAAGCGGCGGAGCAUGCGGAUUAAUUCGAUGCAACGCGUAGAACCUUACCUGGGUUUGACAUGGAUCGGGAGUGCUCAGAGAUGGGUGUGCCUCUUUUGGGGUCGGUUCACAGGUGGUGCAUGGCUGUCGUCAGCUCGUGUCGUGAGAUGUUGGGUUAAGUCCCGCAACGAGCGCAACCCUUGUUCACUGUUGCCAGCACGUUAUGGUGGGGACUCAGUGGAGACCGCCGGGGUCAACUCGGAGGAAGGUGGGGAUGACGUCAAGUCAUCAUGCUCCUUAUGUCCAGGGCUUCACGCAUGCUACAAUGGCUGGUACAGAGAGUGGCGAGCCUGUGAGGGUGAGCGAAUCUCGGAAAGCCGGUCUCAGUUCGGAUUGGGGUCUGCAACUCGACCUCAUGAAGUCGGAGUCGCUAGUAAUCGCAGAUCAGCAACGCUGCGGUGAAUACGUUCCCGGGGCU